rnacentral:rRNA from 1 species
GUUAGGAAUAUUGGACAAUGGGCGCAAGCCUGAUCCAGCCAUGCCGCGUGAACGAUGAAGGCCUUCGGGUUGUAAAGUUCUUUAGCCGAUGAUUAUAAUGACUGUAGUCGGAAAAUAAGCCCCGGCUAACUUCGUGCCAGCAGCCGCGGUAAUACGAAGGGGGCGAGCGUUAUUCGGAAUCACUGGGCGUAAAGCGUGCGUAGGCGGUUGUGUAAGUUAGGAGUGAAAGCCCAGGGCUCAACCUUGGAAUUGCUCUUAAAACUGCAAGGCUCGAAUCUCGGGGAGGAAAGCGGAAUUUCCAGUGUAGCAGUGAAAUGCGUAGAUAUUGGAAGGAACACCAGUGGCGUAAGCGGCUAUCUGGACGAGUAUAGACACUGAGGCACGAAAGCGUGGGGAUCAAACAGGAUUAGAAACCCGGGUAGUCC